CGCUGGCGGCGUGCUUAACACAUGCAAGUCGAACGGUAAGGCCCUUCGGGGUACACGAGUGGCGAACGGGUGAGUAACACGUGGGUGAUCUGCCCUGCACUUCGGGAUAAGCUUGGGAAACUGGGUCUAAUACCGGAUAGGACCACGGUCUGCAUGGAUUGUGGUGGAAAGCUUUUGCGGUGUGGGAUGGGCCCGCGGCCUAUCAGCUUGUUGGUGGGGUGAUGGCCUACCAAGGCGACGACGGGUAGCCGGCCUGAGAGGGUGUCCGGCCACACUGGGACUGAGAUACGGCCCAGACUCCUACGGGAGGCAGCAGUGGGGAAUAUUGCACAAUGGGCGCAAGCCUGAUGCAGCGACGCCGCGUGGGGGAUGACGGCCUUCGGGUUGUAAACCUCUUUCAGCAUCGACGAAGCGCAAGUGACGGUAGAUGCAGAAGAAGCACCGGCCAACUACGUG
rnacentral:rRNA from 1 species